UACGUAGGUGGCAAGCGUUGUUCGGAAUUAUUGGGCGUAAAGGGCGCGUAGGCGGUUUGUUAAGUCGGCUGUGAAAGCCCGGGGCUCAACCCCGGAGGGUCGGCCGAUACUGGCAAGCUAGAGUACAGAAGAGGUAGCUGGAAUUCCCGGUGUAGCGGUGAAAUGCGUAGAUAUCGAGAGGAACACCUGCGGCGAAGGCGGGUUGCUGGGCUGAUACUGACGCUGAACUGCGAAAGCUAGGGGAGCGAACGGG
rnacentral:rRNA from 1 species